UACCCUUUGUAUGUUAUAUAGAUAUAUACAUAUAUAUAUAUAUACACAUCGAUUUAGGUUUUUUUUUGGUUGCUUUGUGAAAUUGUACGAGUUGUUACCUCGUUCUCUCUCCCUCUCUCUUCUUCCGUUCUCUCUCUGAUUACUGUGAAAUGGUUUGAUACCCUCUUCUUAGUCCCAUUUUUUUUCCAAUUUGCCCCCCCCUUUUUAAUUUAUUUUUUAUUUUUUGUUUUAGUUAAAGAUUUCGUUUAGUAAAAAAAACAUCAAUUCAAAUUGAUUUCCUAUUUUUCCCCAUUUAUGCGUAUUGAUCACAGACAUGUCUGCCAAGAAUAAAUAGAUGAAACCUGUGUUUGGUAAACAAAAACAGUAGUUUAGUCAGUUUUAUUUACUUUUCUCUGAGAUAGAUUCGUCCUUUUUCCUUCUGUAGGUUGUAUUCCUAUUCCUUUUCCCUUUCCUUUUUGUCUUCUUGAAACCUGUCUUUGGAAUAUGCUAUGUUAAUGAGAAAGAUUAAACUCAUGCUAUUAGUAGAGCUUUGUUAAAGACGUUUGCUUCAUUAAUAUUUUUCGUGAGUUGGUUGUCCAGGAAAAGAAAAGCACUUGAAUUGUUGUCAUUGGCUAUUCUUUCAAUUACUGCUAUGCUUUCUUCUAGUUUUAUGAACAACCUUAGGGGUUGUAUUAUUGUGUUCUCAAGUGAUAUGCUCAGAAUCUUAAAAGAAGGAUUUAUUUCUUCUAAAUUGAAAAAGACAUUUAAUUUCUUCUUCAAAUCUAAAAAUUUACUUUUUUUGCUUAUGUUAAAUUGCAUUACUGCUUAUGAUCCAAAGAUAUAGGUUCAUAGGUCUGUAUAUCUCUUUGUUUAGAUGUGGUUAGCAGAGAAAGUUAUGAGCCAUAGUAAUGAAUUAAGUACCAAGACAACAUGUGAUAAUUUGUAGCUUUAUUUGUAUUGACUUCCAAUUCUUUGUGUAUCUGACUAAUGAUCCAAAUGAGGAAAUUUUAAGUUUUUGUUAUUUGAAGAAUUGUAAGUUUUUGUUAUGUAAAUUAAUAAAGUUUAUAAUUUUUGUAAUAUGAUAUGUAUCAUAUUAAUAAAACAGGUUUGGUUUUACUUUCCAAAAUCAAGGGGUUAAUUUGUAAGUUUAUAUGCUUUUGUUGUCAGCCCUUGGUUGAAUAAGGUCACAAUUUGAGGAUGUGAGCUCAAAUUUUGUGUUAAACAAUAUGUGACUCUCUCUGCCUUCCUUCCUCUACCUACUGAACUGUUAAGAUAAUGAAAUGACUUUAUGCCUUUAUUUAUUUAUUUUUAUUUAUUUAUUUUUUAAACCCAAUAUGACUAAUUACUGAAAAGACUGAUUCUAGCAGCAACUCCUUGGUCCUUUUGGUUUUCAGUAGAUACCCCAAAUGGUUAAACUGGAUUGAAUGACAAUUUUAUGUUACCAACACUGGCUAAUGUCCUUUGUGUGAUUACUUAAUAAUCAUUCUAUUAUAAUCAUGUGCUCGUGCCUUGUCUUUUCUGUACAUUAUUGUCAAAAUGGUCUGAGUUUGAAGUCCAUCUUGGAUGUACCAUAUCCAUACUAAAAGAGCUGUCUAAUUGUCAACAUGUUAGAAAAAUUUUAUUCAAUCAGUACUUCUUGGGUGCCAUGUAUGUACAAUUAACUUCCCAAUCAAUUUUAGAGGAUUUGGAUUCAAUUCUUCCUAAUUAAUACAGAGGCAUGUCAUCCUCUAGUAACUAUUAUUUCAGCGUUGAGACCUUCGACUUGAGGUAUGAGGCUUUGAAAUGUGAUUGUGGGCUAAGAGCUACCAUAAGGGUUACCGUAAGGGUUAUCGAGUCUGAUAAGCCAUCUAAAAGGAGACUAUAUUUCAUUUGUGAGAAGAAAAAUUGUCAAUUUUGAAGGUGGUGUAACCUAAAAUUUGCAACGAUGGUAGAACGGCUGAACAAUGAGAGAAUGCUUGAUCAAAAUCAAAAUAUGAAGACUGUAGGAUUAAAAGUGAAGAACCAAAUGCUUGAACAAUCCAAUGCUUUCAUGAAGCAGCUUGUUAUGGGUCUGCUCACAAUUUGUAUUGUUAUGUCAGUUGCAUUACUCUUUAAAUGAUGAUAGGUGCCGUUUAGAUAUACCUGGUGUUUUUGUGCUAAUGUAAUUUACCAUGGACUAUUGUACUAAGCUUUGUACCCAAUGAAUGUUGAUAUGUUUGACAUAAUUGUCGUGUAUGGUUAUUAUGUACUAAUCUAGCUGUUGUAAUGCAAGCAAUGAUGAAUGAGUUUGUUUUGAAGAAUUUUUUUCUUUCAUAGAAUGAGUACCCAAGAGGAAACACAAUAUGAAAAUAGGAAGAACAAGGGAAAAUCAAGUCAAGUACCAUCCAUUAAAGCUUACCGGGAUGCAAAAUCAAAUGAAAUUUUUAUUAAGCUUUGUGUUGAGCAAGUGAAGGCUGGACAUAGACCUGGUACACACUUAGAUAGGGUCGGAUGGGAAAAUGUGAUAACUAAUUUUAAAAGUAUGAAUGGAAAAGCAUACCAACAAAUACAAAUGAAAAAUCAUUGAGAUGAGUUGAAAAAAGAUUGGCUUUUAUGGAAUAAUCUAUUAAGGAAUGAGACAAGCUUAAGCUAUGAUACAUUGACUGGAGCUAUAUCUGCAUCUGAUGAGUGGUAGACCAAGAAAUUGGAGAGGUAUCCUGAUGCUGCUAAAUUUCGGCAUAUGCCGUUGCAAUUCACUGAAGAGUUAGGCAUACUAUUCUCAGAUGCAGCUGUUACAGGAGAAUAGGCAUACACCUCUAGCUCAAGGGUUAUGCCUCACACGGAUGAGACUCUAGAGGAAUUUCAUACCCCACGUGAUGCUGAAUUUCAUGAUGAUGCUGAUUUGAAAGUGGUUCAUCCUUUUGAUUUAAAUAAAAAAUGUCUAUCAAACACUGAUAGUUCAUCAAACAAGAGCAAGACAAAGAAGAAAUUAUCUGGUGUAACUCUACUUAAUAAGACACUUGAUUCGUAUAGUCAAUGUGGUUGAGUCAUCUUUAGCAACUUCAACACAAACCUCAUCAAAAUAUCCUUCAAUUGCAGAAUGUUUGGCGAAAUUGGAAAGCAUCCCUAGUGUGUCCCCGGAUGAUGAGCUAUAUGUAUAGACUGCCAGAUUGUUCUUAAGAGACAAGCGUCAUGAGUGCUUCAUGACUCUUCCUACGGAUGAAGUUCGGCUGAGGUUUCUGAAAUUGGAGAUUGAGAUGGAGAAGACCACCAUAGGUUAUUACGGCUAAUUGUUUAUGAAGUUGGAUGUUUAUGAAUUUCCUAAUUAUUUCAUGUUGAAGACCUUUUUUAGACUUUUAUUAUUAAUUGUGGACUGUUAUGUUGGACUCAUUUUAUUUUUUUCUUUUAUUAAUAUUAUGUAUGAGAAGGUUGGACUUUUGUGU